rnacentral:rRNA from 1 species
UAUUCCUGGCCGUAAACGAUGUCAACUAGGUGUAGGGGGUAACCAACCCUCUGUACUGCAGCUAACGCGUUAAGUUGACCGCCUGGGGACUACGGCCGCAAGGCUAAAACUCAAAGGAAUUGACGGGUCCCCGCACAAGCAGCGGAGCGUGUGGUUUAAUUCGAGGCUACGCGAAGAACCUUACCCGGGUUUGACAUACUAGUGGUACCGAUUCGAAAGAUGAAGGACCCUUCGGGGAGCUAGUACAGGUGCUGCAUGGCUGUCGUCAGCUCGUGCCGUGAGGUGUCAGGUUAAGUCCUGUAACGAGCGCAACCCUCAUCGUUAGUUAUACGUGUCUAACGAGACUGCCCGUGAUAAGCGGGAGGAAGGUGGGGAUGACGUCAAGUCAGCAUGGCCUUUAUAUCCGGGGCUACACACACGCUGCAAUGGCCGGUACAAUGGGUUGCCAAAGCGCGAGCUGGAGCCAAUCCCCAAAGCCGGUCUCAGUUCGGAUUGUAGGCUGCAACUCGCCUGCA